rnacentral:rRNA from 1 species
UACGUAGGGUGCGAGCGUUAAUCGGAAUUACUGGGCGUAAAGGGUGCGCAGGCGGUUGAUUAAGUCAGAUGUGAAAUUCCCGGGCUCAACCUGGGGACUGCAUUUGAGACUGGUCGGCUGGAGUGUGUCAGAGGGGGGUGGAAUUCCACGUGUAGCAGUGAAAUGCGUAGAGAUGUGGAGGAACACCGAUGGCGAAGGCAGCCCCCUGGGAUAACACUGACGCUCAUGCACGAAAGCGUGGGGAGCAAACAGG